GUGGUUGUAGCUCAGUGGUAGAGUGCUUACUUAGCACAUGUAAGGCACUGGGUUCGAUCCUAAGCACCACA
rnacentral:tRNA from 1 species